UAAGGGUGGCGACACCUUCAAAAUGGAGUUCCAGAUUGUCAAUGUGGAAAAGCCAAAACUCACUGGAGAACACAGUAGUUUUUGCUUGCUUUGAAGGGAAUGACUCCCUUGCAAACUUGCAGAACACCCUCCCCCCAUUUUGGACCAAGUUGCAGCACUGUCAACAACAAAGUGGCGAAAUCACUCAAUCCGUUUGCUCUGCUAUGGAGACUACGAGCUGUUGACAAAACUAUACGGCAUCAAUGGUUGCAAUGCAAGACACUGCUGUGUAUAUUGUACGGC